CAGAGUUCAUCAGUUCUCCUUCUGGAAGUCGAUAAUAUUUUUCAUCACAAGUCCUUUGGGAUUGUCUUGGAUCAAAGUUGCCAACUUCUUCAAAGCUGAUCGUCAUUACAACAUGUGGCAUGACCUUUGUGAGAAAUGAAUAUUUCUUAUAUUUAAUAACUAUUGUAUUAGGACCAAGGUUUUUCCCCUGUUUUACUUCCUCAUCCAGAAAUCAACCAGUGUGGGAAAUCCCUUGGUAGAGAAUUACCCAGGCCAAAAUCUAACCAGACAGUAAAAGAAAUUCUGAGUUUGGGCUAAUAGGUGUAUUCUUGCCAUUGUGUUUGCUCAGACAAGUCCGGGGAAAGAUUGAGUCUCCAUGUGAUCAAGACAGGCCUGCAUCACUGGGAAGCUGGAUCGCUUCUACUUGUUGCUGAGAGACCCUUAACUAAAGACUUAGGCUGUGCUGAAAUCUGGUGGGAUCCAAAGAUUGAAACAAGGCGUUUUCUCACAGUUACACGUCAGGCAACUCCUGUGGCUUAUCUGAAAACUGGACUGGUACCGAUCAAUCAGUUAUUGCUUCUACAUUCCUUUUAUUGUUCACAGACACUUGUUCUGAUUUCAGGAAAUCAGGCCUAUUCACUCUCCCCCUCCUCCAAUGAGAAACCAAAUUGCUGAAUUUUGUAUUCUGGUUGUUUUCUUUUAAUUAAUUGGCCUGUUUGAUAAUUGUUUUAAAUGAAUAAAAGUCUACCUCUCUCUGUA